UGCGUAGGGUCCGAGCGUUGUCCGGAAUUAUUGGGCGUAAAGGGCUCGUAGGCGGUUCGUCACGUCGGGAGUGAAAACUCGGGGCUUAACCCCGAGCCUGCUUCCGAUACGGGCAGACUAGAGGUAGGCAGGGGAGAGCGGAACUCCUGGUGUAGCGGUGGAAUGCGCAGAUAUCAGGAGGAACACCGGUGGCGAAGGCGGGUCUCGUGGGCCGAUGACUGACGCUGAGGAGCGAAAGCGUGGGGAGCGAACGG
rnacentral:rRNA from 1 species